GAUUAAGUUAUUAAGGGCGCACGGUGGAUGCCUUGGCACUAGAAGCCGACGAAGGACGUUACUAACGACGAUAUGCUUUGGGUAGCUGUAAGUAAGCGUUGAUCCAGAGAUUUCCGAAUGGGGGAACCCAGCACGAGUUAUGUCGUGUUAUCGACAAGUGAAUUCAUAGCUUGUCAGAAGGCAGACCCGGAGAACUGAAACAUCUUAGUACCCGGAGGAAGAGAAAGAAAAAUCGAUUCCCUGAGUAGCGGCGAGCGAAACGGGAAGAGCCCAAACCAAUAAGCUUGCUUAUUGGGGUUGUAGGACACUCUAUACGGAGUUACAAAGGAAUAUAUUAGACGAAUCAUCUGGAAAGUUGAAUCAAAGAAGGUAAUAAUCCUGUAGUUGAAAAUAUAUUCUCUCUUGAGUGGAUCCUGAGUACGACGGAGCACGUGAAAUUCCGUCGGAAUCUGGGAGGACCAUCUCCUAAGGCUAAAUACUCUCUAGUGACCGAUAGUGAACCAGUACCGUGAGGGAAAGGUGAAAAGUACCCCGGAAGGGGAGUGAAAGAGAACUUGAAACCGUGUGCUUACAAGUAGUCAGAGCCCGUUAAUGGGUGAUGGCGUGCCUUUUGUAGAAUGAACCGGCGAGUUACGAUCUGAUGCAAGGUUAAGCAGGAGAUGUGGAGCCGUAGCGAAAGCGAGUCUGAAUAGGGCGUUGAGUAUUUGGUCGUAGACCCGAAACCAGGUGAUCUACCCAUGGUCAGGUUGAAGUUCAGGUAACACUGAAUGGAGGACCGAACCGACUUACGUUGAAAAGUGAGCGGAUGAACUGUGGGUAGCGGAGAAAUUCCAAUCGAACUUGGAGAUAGCUGGUUCUCUCCGAAAUAGCUUUAGGGCUAGCCUCAAGUGAUGAUUAUUGGAGGUAGAGCACUGUUUGGACGAGGGGCCCCUCUCGGGUUACCGAAUUCAGACAAACUCCGAAUGCCAAUUAAUUUAACUUGGGAGUCAGAACAUGGGUGAUAAGGUCCGUGUUCGAAAGGGAAACAGCCCAGACCACCAGCUAAGGUCCCAAAAUAUAUGUUAAGUGGAAAAGGAUGUGGCGUUGCCCAGACAACUAGGAUGUUGGCUUAGAAGCAGCCAUCAUUUAAAGAGUGCGUAAUAGCUCACUAGUCGAGUGACACUGCGCCGAAAAUGUACCGGGGCUAAACAUAUUACCGAAGCUGUGGAUUGUCCGUAGGACAAUGGUAGGAGAGCGUUCUAAGGGCGUUGAAGCAUGAUCGCAAGGACAUGUGGAGCGCUUAGAAGUGAGAAUGCCGGUGUGAGUAGCGAAAGACGGGUGAGAAUCCCGUCCACCGAUUGACUAAGGUUUCCAGAGGAAGGCUCGUCCGCUCUGGGUUAGUCGGGUCCUAAGCUGAGGCCGACAGGCGUAGGCGAUGGAUAACAGGUUGAUAUUCCUGUACCACCUAGCAUCGUUUUAAUCGAUGGGGGGACGCAGUAGGAUAGGCGAAGCGUACGAUUGGAUUGUACGUCCAAGCAGUGAGAUUGAGUGUUAGGCAAAUCCGGCACUCUUAAGAUUGAGCUGUGAUGGGGAGAGGAAAUUGUUUCCUCGAGUCGUUGAUUUCACACUGCCGAGAAAAGCCUCUAGAUAGAUAAUAGGUGCCCGUACCGCAAACCGACACAGGUAGUCAAGAUGAGAAUUCUAAGGUGAGCGAGCGAACUCUCGUUAAGGAACUCGGCAAAAUGACCCCGUAACUUCGGGAGAAGGGGUGCUCUUUAGGGUGCAAGCCCAGAAGAGCCGCAGUGAAUAGGCCCAAGCGACUGUUUAUCAAAAACACAGGUCUCUGCUAAACCGUAAGGUGAUGUAUAGGGGCUGACGCCUGCCCGGUGCUGGAAGGUUAAGAGGAGUAGUUAGCUUCUGCGAAGCUACGAAUCGAAGCCCCAGUAAACGGCGGCCGUAACUAUAACGGUCCUAAGGUAGCGAAAUUCCUUGUCGGGUAAGUUCCGACCCGCACGAAAGGCGUAACGAUUUGGGCACUGUCUCAACGAGAGACUCGGUGAAAUCAUAGUACCUGUGAAGAUGCAGGUUACCCGCGACAGGACGGAAAGACCCCGUGGAGCUUUACUGUAGCCUGAUAUUGAAAUUCGGCACAGCUUGUACAGGAUAGGUAGGAGCCUUUGAAACGUGAGCGCUAGCUUACGUGGAGGCGCUGGUGGGAUACUACCCUAGCUGUGUUGGCUUUCUAACCCGCACCACUUAUCGUGGUGGGAGACAGUGUCAGACGGGCAGUUUGACUGGGGCGGUCGCCUCCUAAAAGGUAACGGAGGCGCUCAAAGGUUCCCUCAGAAUGGUUGGAAAUCAUUCAUAGAGUGUAAAGGCAUAAGGGAGCUUGACUGCGAGACCUACAAGUCGAGCAGGGUCGAAAGACGGACUUAGUGAUCCGGUGGUUCCGCAUGGAAGGGCCAUCGCUCAACGGAUAAAAGCUACCCCGGGGAUAACAGGCUUAUCUCCCCCAAGAGUUCACAUCGACGGGGAGGUUUGGCACCUCGAUGUCGGCUCAUCGCAUCCUGGGGCUGUAGUCGGUCCCAAGGGUUGGGCUGUUCGCCCAUUAAAGCGGUACGCGAGCUGGGUUCAGAACGUCGUGAGACAGUUCGGUCCCUAUCCGUCGUGGGCGUAGGAAAUUUGAGAGGAGCUGUCCUUAGUACGAGAGGACCGGGAUGGACAUACCUCUGGUGUACCAGUUGUCGUGCCAACGGCAUAGCUGGGUAGCUAUGUAUGGACGGGAUAAGUGCUGAAAGCAUCUAAGCAUGAAGCCCCCCUCAAGAUGAGAUUUCCCAACUUCGGUUAUAAGAUC
rnacentral:rRNA from 1 species